UUGUGCCCAGAGUUUGAUUUUCCACAGACCAGGUAGAGGCCAAGAGCCUCUCACAGACUCUGCAGCAGGGUUGCUAUGAUUAACUCUUAAGUACUCCACAACUACACGCUUUUGAAACUGGCGUUGGCAUAGCGUUAGUUCUGUGCAGGGCGGACGCAGCAGGACAGAAUCUCCCUGGGCAUCUUUUCGGAGCAUCAAUUUUACUGCAAAAUUUUGAAAAAACAAAUUUAAUUGAUUUCCAAGGUUUGUCAAGGAGGACAGAAACUCAGAGCACCCUGCACUUGGGGAUCGGCACUAGGAGCUGCUCUCUGGAUGGGGAGAUGGGAGCUAGCAGCUCACAAUGGGGUCACAAGAUGCAUGGUGAAUAUUUGAUGUUUUAGAACAAAAAUGUAUUUACAAAUCUCAUUUGAUGCAGACAUCUGAAAAUACUCAGAAGUUACAAGAAUUCAUAAAAUACCCACCAAAGCUAAUAGAAAACAUGGAACCUUCCAGGACAAGAAGUAAAUUAAAAGAACAACCCAGAGGAGUAAUCAAAGUGAGAAGCCAGUGCCGCCUCCAGGUACUGGAUGAUCACAGGGACCUCAGGCUUUGGGGAUUAUUCAACUACCUUCUUGGAAUAAACAACAAAAAAAGUA
rnacentral:lncRNA from 1 species